AAUCAUGUAAGAAAUCAAGAAAGAAAGCAGGUAAAUUAUAAUUCAGUUUUAUAUGAUUUAUUUUUUGACGCACGCGCAUCUAACCGUUUCUUAUCCGUUAAAGAAGCGCUAUAUCUUUAUGCUAAGAUUACGAUUUUAUAAGAAAACUUGUUUAUCCCUUUUUUUUUUACAUCCACCAAUUGAUUCGUCAUUUCAUUGUCCACAAUAAGUUUAAAUUUGAAUGACUAAGGUAUUUUUCAGAAAUGUGUAUUCAUAUUACAAUAAAACAUUGCUCAAAUGUUCAGUAUAAAGUGAAAUAUUUUAAAUCACCGCUCUUUUGGAAUUUUUCGCUGACCGUUGUUAGUGUUUAUUACCAUCAUUUGAAUUCUCAAUCGAUUUAUGAAAUUUGAUAAUUGUUGUCUUAUUUUAGUAAAUAACUAAACAUGCAUGUACUAGAUUAGUGAUAUACAUUUGGAUGAUUUAUAUGUUUAGUAAUAUAAAGAUAAAAAUAACACCUAUUUUAUUACAGAUAUUAUUUUUAUAAAGUAUGUGAACGUGUUGGUUUUCAUUAAACCGACACAAUAUUAAAACAAGUAAUUUUAUAAUGGGAGUUAACAUGCUUAAGUUUUUCCUUCGCCAUUCUCUUGUUAUUCUUGCAAACCCUGUUUAAUAAUAUUUAAAUCAAAUAUGGAAAAUAACCAUAUUCAAAGAUACAUGAAGUGACUUACAACACAUAUGAAAGUAAUGUUUCUAAUUAUCUUAUUUUAUAGUGUAAAUUCAAAGAUUAAGAAAGCAAGACAAUGGAAAAGGAUUACCAGUAUAUACAACUGAAUAAAAGAAGCACUGAUACACAGACCAACUAAUGUGUACUAUAAGUUUGUCAUGUAACUGAGGGAAGAUGCAAGACAAUGAAAUUAUUAUUUCUUAAAUAAACUAAGAGGGAUUUAAUUUAUUAUCUAAUUAGGUUUCGUUUCUUGUUGCAAAUUAUUUG
rnacentral:lncRNA from 1 species